rnacentral:rRNA from 1 species
CGUGUAGGCGGCUGGAUAAGUCAGAUGUGAAAGCCCUGGGCUUAACCUAGGAAGUGCAUUUGAAACUGUUCAGCUUGAGUAGGGGAGAGGAAAGUGGAAUUCCUGGUGUAGAGGUGAAAUUCGUAGAUAUCAGGAGGAACACCGGUGGCGAAGGCGACUUUCUGGCCCUAUACUGACGCUGAGACGCGAGAGCGUGGGUAGCAAACA